AGAGAGCUUCAGCUGUGGUAUUAUGGGGAGGAACCUGCAGCCGGUGGACAAGGCCUUAGAACUCCCAGGAUUAAAUGCCCUUUGUCUUCUGUUACUAGUGUGGGUAGGGAGGGACCAUCAGGUGGGGGCAGGGCUAGGUGUGUCUGAACUCAAACUCUCCUUGGGCAGGUCUUGCUGUGGCUGCUGUGGGGGAUGGUGGUGAGAUUCCCAGGUCACUGGAGUUGUGUAUCUAGGAGGAUUAUGGCUGCUUCUGCUGAGUCAUGCAGGUUGUUCCGGAAGUGGAGGAAAGCCGGUAGUCACAGGCCUCACCCAGCUCCCACACGCAAACCGAAGGGCCCGUCUCCCUCCCACCGUGCUCCCUGCAGCUGCCCCCAGACUGUUUCCAGGUGGAGAGCAAUACAGGACUGAAAAUCUGCCCCAGGCUAUUCGCCUCCCAGCUGUGAAAAAAAGGGCUUGGUUCUUCCCCAACCAGUGGAGUCCGCACACUGGAUUUGCGCCCUCCCGCAAGUUGUGGCCAGGAGGCUUCUCACCCGGUUCAAAUUGUUACAAAGUUCAGCUAGAGAUUUGCUUCUUCCUGUGCAGUUUUACCCCCGCUCCUCUCCUGUUGUAUCUCUGUGGUACCAGGCAGGAAUGGGUGCUAGGGGACCCAGUGAGGUUCCGGGGCCUUUCUGCUGCUUCCUCUACCCGUGUUUCACUCGGCUCUCCAUACUGAUUCAGCUCCAGCAUGUCAUUUUCUUCAUAAGCAGUCUGCUGGGAUUUGUUUGAGAACGUAUUAAAGAGAUCAACUUGGGUCAAAUGGACAAAAGAGUGUUGAGUCCUUCGAUCUAUGAACAUGAGGAGAUGGAGUCUCACUUUGUUGCCCAGGCUGGUCUUAAACUCCUGGCCUCAAGCAGUCCUCCUGCCUCAGUCUCCCAAAGUGCUCGGGUUACAGCUAUGAGCCACCACGCCUGGCCUCUUUUACAAAUUUUAAGGUUUGAAGUUGUUCGAUUGCACCUUUCUUUUCCCUGGAGUUAAUGUUGUACUCAGAAGGCCAUGCAAAUGGAGGAGAGAUGUUUAUUUCAUGAUUUGGAUUUGUUUUGGUGGCCUGCUGGGGCCCAUUCAUUUGGCCCUAAGGCUUGUUUCUACCAUAAUGGUGCCUGUGACAUUUUGACGGCAUUUUCAGCUGAACCCCUACAGUAUGGGUCACCUUGCAGUCCCUGCAUCAGCACUCCUGUUGUAAUUUCCUGCAGCUCACUAGCUCUCUGUCUUUCAGACAACUGCUAUGCCCAGUCUAGGGAACCUCAGCAACCUUCGCAUGGUUUCCUACUGCUUCUAGGGCUAGGUGCCCCCAGAUCUCACCUUUUCUACUCUGUGAUGGCCACAUCCCAUUGGCAGAGCCAACUGCUUUCCAGAGACUUCACCUGAAAAUGGAUGCCCUGAUCCUCCUAAGUUUGGAUACAAACAGUUAAUUGAAGGGCUGAAGGCAUUUUUGGCUCCCCAUGGGGCCUGAGCCUGAGGACGCAAGGAAUUAGGAAACAGCCUCCUUGCCCCCAACCCCUCUCACGAAUUGUUAACUCUCACAGCAUUCUCUAUCUAGACUGGGGUAGGGGUGGAGAAUCAGUCUGACAACAUCUACUUCCUAAUCCUUUGGUCUUAUUUGUGGAUCUAAAAACUUUUGAAAUUGCUUGUGCAGUUGUUUCUUUGUGAGACUCUCUCUUAGGGCAAAAUGGCCUCUGGGAUCCCAGCCUAAGUAGGGGAGGGCCACUUCAGUGAGGGGUAGGGACAGAACAGUACAGUUAGUGCUUGCAUGUCAUUUUCCAAUUUAAGUGAAAUAAUUACACCAUGUUAGAGACAUCCUUUUCGGGGGAAUUACCAAGAAUUCAUAAUAUUUUAUAGAAGUUGCUGAUGUUGAAAAUCUGCCUAAAUACUUAGGACAUUAUAAAUUUAGCAAAAGUUACUUAAUGUGCUGCUCUGCUAUUCAGGAACCUUGACAUUUGAGGCAAAUAAAAGGGAAUAGUUAUGUAAGUUAUAAAAUUAACAAGUACUGUGGCAGUUCAUGAAAUACCUGAACCAAGUCUGUCUUAGCGCAGGUGUUGGGAAUUCAAGGGUAAGAAAAAGUUAGCAUUGACAAGGGAUGCUGAUUAUGUAGGCUUGUGCAGCAUAUACCAUCAAUCAUCUCUGUAUGCACACGAAAAACCCCUGUUACAUGAUCCUUAAGGAAUUGUCCAGAUUCUUUUGUCCUCUUUUAAAUGGUCUUAUCCUGGACUCUUCUGUCAUUUCCACAUUUAAGCAGAAACCAAAUUCUAUCUCCAAAUAUUUGUCCUGGCUUUUCCAUCCACAUUAAUACUACCUUAGUUUAGACCUUCAUCAUCGCUUGCUUAGAAUAUUACAGUAGCCACCUGACUUUUCCUGCUUCACCCAGUCCAUCCUCUGCUUAUAUCAGGUAUUCUUUGUAAAAUACAAACCUGAUAUUUACUCCCUCCUUUAGAAACUGUGAUCACUCUCUGCCAUUUACAGAGUAAAAUGCCAAUCUCCAA